GCAGACUAUGAUACAAGUGAUGUUGAAGGUCCAUAUUAUGACAAACCAGAACCAGAUUAUGAUGAAAGGGCAAAUAAAGGUAACAUGGAUUCAAACAUAGGAGCUGGUCUUAACAUGGGUCAGCAAUUUACGAAUUUCAUGAACUGGUUUUUUUCCUAUUGGUGAGAAAGUACAAUAAAGAUAGCUCAAAAGCAUGAAAACCCGGACAUCCGGAAAAAAAAUUGUCUAACCAGUCACAAAUUGUAAAAUAUCUUCCUCAUAGUAAGUGUUAAAAAAUUUCAGAACCACGUGCAUCGGUUUCUAGUAAAAAGGGUGAAUAGGGGGAGAAAUUUAGAUAUUGCUAAUUAGACAAAAAAAAUCAUUGUUCCAACGUAUUUUUCUUUUACGCUGAAUCAAAUAAUAUCAUAUAAAACCAGUAAUUCAAAAGUUACAAUGAUUUUACGAACAUAAAGUGGUUUAACAAACAGUACCUAUUUACUCAUCUGUCAUCACUCCCAGGACAAAUGAUACACUUUUUCCUAUGCAUUUAGUCACAUUGAACUGAACGAAACUAACAUGAGGUAAUGGGACCAAUAGUCCGAACAUAUCAAGGAAUUUUGUGUAUAAAAAGUACCAUUAUUUACUUUUACUUAUUUAAACUUUUUUUUCUGAACUAUUUUAUCAACUCAGUUACGAUUCAGUGUGAAAAAUACACAAAAACAAUUCUUUGUUUGCCUGGACAGCAGUUUUUAAGUUUCGCCUUCUGUUUAUCCUUUCUCUCAAAACUCGACUCGCCAACUCACUCAACUUAUUCUCACUUACUAUAAGGAGGAUUUUUAGCAGUUUUUUCCUGGGUAGUACUUUUUUCGAAUGCCAGAUUUUUACAGUUCAUGAAGUCAAACAAAGACAUAACUGUUCAAAGACAAGAUUUGCCAGUUCUUGGACAAAUGCAAUGCUUCAUGCUGCAGUGAAUAUCUAUACAAGAUCAUUUUAAAAACAAAACUUGUAGACUUGAAUUUAUAAGCACCAUAUAGGAAAUAAAAACUUUCUUUAAUA